ACGAAAAAUGAAUACCAAGUCUCAAGAGUGAACACGUAAUUCAUUACGAAGUUUAAUUCAUUGAGCAUCAAACUUUUAAAUUGAAGAGUUUGAUCAUGGCUCAGAUUGAACGCUGGCGGCAGGCCUAACACAUGCAAGUCGAACGGUAACAGGAAGCAGCUUGCUGCUUUGCUGACGAGUGGCGGACGGGUGAGUAAUGUCUGGGAAACUGCCUGAUGGAGGGGGAUAACUACUGGAAACGGUGGCUAAUACCGCAUAACGUCGCAAGACCAAAGAGGGGGACCUUCGGGCCUCUUGCCAUCAGAUGUGCCCAGAUGGGAUUAGCUUGUUGGUGAGGUAACGGCUCACCAAGGCGACGAUCCCUAGCUGGUCUGAGAGGAUGACCAGCCACACUGGAACUGAGACACGGUCCAGACUCCUACGGGAGGCAGCAGUGGGGAAUAUUGCACAAUGGGCGCAAGCCUGAUGCAGCCAUGCCGCGUGUAUGAAGAAGGCCUUCGGGUUGUAAAGUACUUUCAGCGGGGAGGAAGGUGUUGUGGUUAAUAACCGCAGCAAUUGACGUUACCCGCAGAAGAAGCACCGGCUAACUCCGUGCCAGCAGCCGCGGUAAUACGGAGGGUGCAAGCGUUAAUCGGAAUUACUGGGCGUAAAGCGCACGCAGGCGGUCUGUCAAGUCGGAUGUGAAAUCCCCGGGCUCAACCUGGGAACUGCAUUCGAAACUGGCAGGCUUGAGUCUUGUAGAGGGGGGUAGAAUUCCAGGUGUAGCGGUGAAAUGCGUAGAGAUCUGGAGGAAUACCGGUGGCGAAGGCGGCCCCCUGGACAAAGACUGACGCUCAGGUGCGAAAGCGUGGGGAGCAAACAGGAUUAGAUACCCUGGUAGUCCACGCCGUAAACGAUGUCUACUUGGAGGUUGUGCCCUUGAGGCGUGGCUUCCGGAGCUAACGCGUUAAGUAGACCGCCUGGGGAGUACGGCCGCAAGGUUAAAACUCAAAUGAAUUGACGGGGGCCCGCACAAGCGGUGGAGCAUGUGGUUUAAUUCGAUGCAACGCGAAGAACCUUACCUGGUCUUGACAUCCACGGAAGUUUUCAGAGAUGAGAAUGUGCCUUCGGGAACCGUGAGACAGGUGCUGCAUGGCUGUCGUCAGCUCGUGUUGUGAAAUGUUGGGUUAAGUCCCGCAACGAGCGCAACCCUUAUCCUUUGUUGCCAGCGGUCCGGCCGGGAACUCAAAGGAGACUGCCAGUGAUAAACUGGAGGAAGGUGGGGAUGACGUCAAGUCAUCAUGGCCCUUACGACCAGGGCUACACACGUGCUACAAUGGCGCAUACAAAGAGAAGCGACCUCGCGAGAGCAAGCGGACCUCAUAAAGUGCGUCGUAGUCCGGAUUGGAGUCUGCAACUCGACUCCAUGAAGUCGGAAUCGCUAGUAAUCGUGGAUCAGAAUGCCACGGUGAAUACGUUCCCGGGCCUUGUACACACCGCCCGUCACACCAUGGGAGUGGGUUGCAAAAGAAGUAGGUAGCUUAACCUUCGGGAGGGCGCUUACCACUUUGUGAUUCAUGACUGGGGUGAAGUCGUAACAAGGUAACCGUAGGGGAACCUGCGGUUGGAUCACCUCCUUACCUUAAAGAA
rnacentral:rRNA from 1 species